UAUCCCACUGUAAUUGCAGUCUGCCUCCUGCUGUUAUCCUACAGUAAUUGUGAUCAAUCUACCUUGUGUGACAUGAUCCUAUGUCUGGCCUUAUUCCAUAAUUAGGAAUACCUUAGGUAGCAAAUACUGAAGAAUAUAUAGUAAAGGAAUUAUUGCAUUUUUUUUUACCCUUAAAGAGUUUAAGAAUUGAGCUUGAUAGCAGAAUGAACUCAGCAGUUUAUUUCAGAAGACAGUGCCAGGUGGACUCUGGCUAGAAGACCAAGAUUGCACACAGAACAAGCAAUUACACAAACUUUAUAUAGGAUUCUUACAAAAAUGUGCAGUGGCAGCAAAUGGGCAACAAAAAGCCCAUGACAAACUCACCGAUAAAGAAGAGAUCACUGGCAAGGUGCUGGAGAUACAACUAAAUUCAUGCCAUAUAAAUUGGUCCACAUCCCCGUGGGGCAGUAAAGGGUCCAGUGAACUACUAGUACUCAAGAUUCAACUGUUGGCCUGGUCACCUUCAGUAUAUGACAUAGAAGGGUCAACAUCCUGCUCUGAAUUUGCCUGCUAACAGUGUUUUUAUUGGUUCUGCCAAUAAAUUUUAUACACCCUA